CCUACGGGAGGCAGCAGUGAGGAAUAUUGGUCAAUGGACGAGAGUCUGAACCAGCCAAGUAGCGUGAAGGAUGACUGCCCUAUGGGUUGUAAACUUCUUUUAUAUGGGAAUAAAAUGUUCCACGUGUGGGAUUUUGUAUGUACCAUAUGAAUAAGGAUCGGCUAACUCCGUGCCAGCAGCCGCGGUAUUACGGAGGAUCCGAGCGUUAUCCGGAUUUAUUGGGUUUAAAGGGAGCGUAGGUGGAUUGGUAAGUCAGUUGUGAAAGUUUGCGGCUCAACCGUAAAAUUGCAGUUGAAACUGGCAGUCUUGAGUACAGUAGAGGUGGGCGGAAUUCGUGGUGUAGCGGUGAAAUGCUUAGAUAUCACGAAGAACUCCGAUUGCGAAGGCAGUUCACUGGACUGCAACUGACACUGAGGCUCGAAAGUGUGGGUAUCAAACAGGAUUAGAUACCCUAGUAGUC
rnacentral:rRNA from 1 species